AGACUAUACCUGUGCCCUCCAGACAGACAUCCUACUGCAGGGACGCCUCUACCUGUCAGAGAACUGGCUCUGUUUCUAUAGCAACAUGUUUCGGGGGACAAAGAUAGCCUUGACUCUGGAAGUCAUCAUUAUGCUCUCUGGUUGUAGAUAGCCUUGACUCUGGAAGUCAUCAUUAUGCUCUCUGGUUGUAGAUAGCCUUGACUCUGGAAGUCAUCACUAUGCUCUCUGGUUAUAGAUAGCCUUGACUCUGGAAGUCAUCACUAUGCUCUCUGGUUAUAGAUAGCCUUGACUCUGGAGGUCAUCACUAUGCUAUAUUGUCGUAGAUAGCCUUGACUCUGGAGGUCAUCACUGUGCUAUAUUGUCGUAGAUAGCCUUGACUCUGGAGGUCAUCACUGUGCUAUAUUGUCGUAGAUAGCCUUGACUCUGAGGGACAUCAAGGCCAUGUACAGAGAGAAGACAGCACGGAUGAUCCCCAAUGCCAUUCAGAUCUGCACAGACUCAGAGAAGUUGUUCUUCACUUCCUUCUCAGCCAGAGAGAAGAGUUACCAGGGAGUGUUCCGGAUGUGGCAGAACACUCUGAUGGACAAGGUGAGGCACAGUUCAGCGACUUCAUAACCUCACCUCACUCACUGGGGCUGCAUCCCAAAUG
rnacentral:lncRNA from 1 species